UACGUAGGGUGCAAGCGUUAAUCGGAAUUACUGGGCGUAAAGCGUGCGCAGGCGGCUUUGCAAGACAGAUGUGAAAUCCCCGGGCUUAACCUGGGAACUGCAUUUGUGACUGCAUGGCUGGAGUGCGGCAGAGGGGGAUGGAAUUCCGCGUGUAGCAGUGAAAUGCGUAGAUAUGCGGAGGAACACCGAUGGCGAAGGCAGCCCCCUGGGCCAACACUGACGCUCAUGCACGAAAGCGUGGGGAGCAGACAGG
rnacentral:rRNA from 1 species